GAUGAACGCUGACAGAAUGCUUAACACAUGCAAGUCAACUUGAACUUCGGUUUGGGUGGCGGACGGGUGAGUAACGCGUAAAGAACUUGCCUCACAGCUAGGGACAACAUUUGGAAACGAAUGCUAAUACCUGAUAUUAUGAUUAUAUGGCAUCGUAUAAUUAUGAAAGCUAUAUGCGCUGUGAGAGAGCUUUGCGUCCCAUUAGCUAGUUGGAGAGGUAACAGCUCACCGAGGCGAUGAUGGGUAGCCGGCCUGAGAGGGUGAUCGGCCACAAGGGGACUGAGACACGGCCCUUACUCCUACGGGAGGCAGCAGUGGGGAAUAUUGGACAAUGGACCGAGAGUCUGAUCCAGCAAUUCUGUGUGCACGAUGAAGUUUUUCGGAAUGUAAAGUGCUUUCAGUUGGGAAGAAAAAAAUGACGGUACCAACAGAAGAAGUGACGGCUAAAUACGUG
rnacentral:rRNA from 1 species